rnacentral:rRNA from 1 species
CGAACGGGUGAGUAAUACAUCGGAACGUGCCCAGUAGUGGGGGAUAGCUCGGCGAAAGCCGGAUUAAUACCGCAUACGACCUGAGGGUGAAAGCGGGGGAUCUUCGGACCUCGCGCUAUUGGAGCGGCCGAUGGCAGAUUAGCUAGUUGGUGGGGUAAAGGCCUACCAAGGCGACGAUCUGUAGCUGGUCUGAGAGGACGACCAGCCACACUGGGACUGAGACACGGCCCAG